UACGGAGGGUACAAGCAUUAAUCGGAUUUACUGGGCGUAAAGGGUGCGUAGGCGGAUAGGAAAGUCAGAUGUGAAAUUCCAGUACUCAAUACUGGAGCUGCAUUUGAAACUCCCUUUCUCGAGGAUAGACGGAGAGAACGGAAUUCCAUGUGUAGCGGUGAAAUGCGUAGAUAUAUGGAAGAACACCUGUGGCGUAAGCGGUUCUCUAGUUUAUUUCUGACGCUGAGGCACGAGAGUGUGGGGAG
rnacentral:rRNA from 1 species